UUCAUCUUGCAUAACCACUGUGCUGCUGCUUGCUAAGACCAUGAUGUUGAGGUCCUGUUGUUUCUCAUGGGUCUCUUGGUACCAUUCCCUCAUCACUUCUGAGUCAUGAGUAGGGAUCAGGGUUACCUGCAGGGAGACAGAAAAUAGUUGGUCAAGAGCAGAGCCAGAAACCAGAGGGGAAAAAAAUAGAACAAUAAUAAGGCUAUGAGUCAGACCAUUCAAAGGAGGGUGAGGAGUGGGCAAUUUCCUACUUUUUAUCCAAUAUGAAGGAUUUUUCAACUUACAUUUUCUAGGAAUCAAAGCAGCAAUGAAUUAAGGUUUUCUGGGAGACUUGAAGACUGGGACCAAAAAAGACCUCAUGACCAGUCAAUCAGUUCAUCUACAUUCACCAUCAGGUGUUCAAAUAUUCAGUGUUAAGAGAAGAAGGGUUUCCGUGCAGGAUAAAGGCUGUCACCACAGAGUCAAACCACCAGCGAAUUCCACAACUGUCCAGCUUUACUUUUAGGAGUGGGGGAGUCACAAGAAUCAGCCAAACUGCUCUUUGGAUACACUAACUCAUUUUAAUGAAUAACCAGCCAUUUUAAUGAAUCUGAGCUACAAGGACUCAAAAUGUCCAUAUUUGGGCCUACCAAACCAAUUCUGACUAAUCGGAGGAGUCCAUGAACUACUGUCCUAACAAUUAAAAAUGGCCACGGCUUUGCCUGGCACGCUCCAUGGCGACCAUCAACACCGAAUGAACGUUGCUCGGACGUAGUAGAGAACUGACAGCCGUUGGCAAAGGUUGGUUUUAAAAAUCACUUGAUAAUGCGGUUUUGUUGUUUUAGAAAUCUAUUGGAAAAGUACCUUCAACAUAAAUUCAAAUUAACUCCUCUUUAUUUGUUUCUUGGCCUUAAAAUUAAUCUCUUUAAAGGACACCAAAAAGAGAAAAAUGUCUUAAAAACCCCCAUUAUGUGGGCUAGAGUGGCUAUAUUUGGCAAGUUUGGUAGCAAAUUUCAGUUGGUUUUUAUCUGUUUGAAAGGAUUUCAUGUUUUCUCCCAAGUGCGGGUCAGUUGCCAACUCUUUCAGACCAAGAGAUUCAUUAUCUGGUGGUUUUCCAUUAAUUCUAAGCAUGAAUAAAAUCAGUUUGUUUUCUGCAUGCAUGUACAAAGGAAAUGUGAUGAGAACGCAGGCUGGAAAUUGAUCUUCCAUGUUGCUCAAAGUAAGACUUUGCAGCUAUAAGUGAUAGUUCCUAAAAUGCACUGAAUUUGAGAGUCCCAAGUUUCAUCAAUCAGAUUUUUCCCCAAAUAAAUGAGAAAUGUUAUUCAAA